AUGUUUAGAUCCAUGAGUAGAGGUUUUGGAACUGGGAGAUAUGAGAGGUUAGGGAAAGAAUCAGCAUCCACGGUACUUUUGCAUGAGGAGUUCAAGCGAAGCACAAGCAUGCCUUCUAAAGCAUCAAGUUCUUCAAGAAAAAUGGGUCUAGGUUCAACUUUUAGGGAUAUAAACCUACAAAGAAACCCCACAAAGAAGGCUGAUAGUAAAAGUAACAAGAAGAGUCAUCCACUCUUCAACUUCUUGGAUUUUCGUAGGAAAAAGAAAACAACAGCUAGGCCUGAAUUUGCAAGAUAUAUUGAGUACCUCAAAGAAGGAGGCGUGUGGGAUUUGAGUUCCAAUAAACCAGUUAUCUAUUACAGUUGA